rnacentral:rRNA from 1 species
AGCGUACACGGUGGAUGCCCUGGCAGUCAGAGGCGAUGAAGGACGUGCUAAUCUGCGAUAAGCGUCGGUAAGGUGAUAUGAACCGUUAUAACCGGCGAUUUCCGAAUGGGGAAACCCAGUGUGUUUCGACACACUAUCAUUAACUGAAUCCAUAGGUUAAUGAGGCGAACCGGGGGAACUGAAACAUCUAAGUACCCCGAGGAAAAGAAAUCAACCGAGAUUCCCCCAGUAGCGGCGAGCGAACGGGGAGCAGCCCAGAGCCUGAAUCAGUGUGUGUGUUAGUGGAAGCGUCUGGAAAGGCGCGCGAUACAGGGUGACAGCCCCGUACACAAAAAUGCACAUGCUGUGAGCUCGAUGAGUAGGGCGGGACACGUGGUAUCCUGUCUGAAUAUGGGGGGACCAUCCUCCAAGGCUAAAUACUCCUGACUGACCGAUAGUGAACCAGUACCGUGAGGGAAAGGCGAAAAGAACCCCGGCGAGGGGAGUGAAAAAGAACCUGAAACCGUGUACGUACAAGCAGUGGGAGCACGCUUCGGCGUGUGACUGCGUACCUUUUGUAUAAUGGGUCAGCGACUUAUAUUCUGUAGCAAGGUUAACCGAAUAGGGGAGCCGAAGGGAAACCGAGUCUUAACUGGGCGUUAAGUUGCAGGGUAUAGACCCGAAACCCGGUGAUCUAGCCAUGGGCAGGUUGAAGGUUGGGUAACACUAACUGGAGGACCGAACCGACUAAUGUUGAAAAAUUAGCGGAUGACUUGUGGCUGGGGGUGAAAGGCCAAUCAAACCGGGAGAUAGCUGGUUCUCCCCGAAAGCUAUUUAGGUAGCGCCUCGUGAAUUCAUCUCCGGGGGUAGAGCACUGUUUCGGCAAGGGGGUCAUCCCGACUUACCAACCCGAUGCAAACUGCGAAUACCGGAGAAUGUUAUCACGGGAGACACACGGCGGGUGCUAACGUCCGUCGUGAAGAGGGAAACAACCCAGACCGCCAGCUAAGGUCCCAAAGUCAUGGUUAAGUGGGAAACGAUGUGGGAAGGCCCAGACAGCCAGGAUGUUGGCUUAGAAGCAGCCAUCAUUUAAAGAAAGCGUAAUAGCUCACUGGUCGAGUCGGCCUGCGCGGAAGAUGUAACGGGGCUAAACCAUGCACCGAAGCUGCGGCAGCGACGCUUAUGCGUUGUUGGGUAGGGGAGCGUUCUGUAAGCCUGUGAAGGUGUGCUGUGAGGCAUGCUGGAGGUAUCAGAAGUGCGAAUGCUGACAUAAGUAACGAUAAAGCGGGUGAAAAGCCCGCUCGCCGGAAGACCAAGGGUUCCUGUCCAACGUUAAUCGGGGCAGGGUGAGUCGACCCCUAAGGCGAGGCCGAAAGGCGUAGUCGAUGGGAAACAGGUUAAUAUUCCUGUACUUGGUGUUACUGCGAAGGGGGGACGGAGAAGGCUAUGUUGGCCGGGCGACGGUUGUCCCGGUUUAAGCGUGUAGGCUGGUUUUCCAGGCAAAUCCGGAAAAUCAAGGCUGAGGCGUGAUGACGAGGCACUACGGUGCUGAAGCAACAAAUGCCCUGCUUCCAGGAAAAGCCUCUAAGCAUCAGGUAACAUCAAAUCGUACCCCAAACCGACACAGGUGGUCAGGUAGAGAAUACCAAGGCGCUUGAGAGAACUCGGGUGAAGGAACUAGGCAAAAUGGUGCCGUAACUUCGGGAGAAGGCACGCUGAUAUGUAGGUGAAGUCCCUCGCGGAUGGAGCUGAAAUCAGUCGAAGAUACCAGCUGGCUGCAACUGUUUAUUAAAAACACAGCACUGUGCAAACACGAAAGUGGACGUAUACGGUGUGACGCCUGCCCGGUGCCGGAAGGUUAAUUGAUGGGGUUAGCGGUAACGCGAAGCUCUUGAUCGAAGCCCCGGUAAACGGCGGCCGUAACUAUAACGGUCCUAAGGUAGCGAAAUUCCUUGUCGGGUAAGUUCCGACCUGCACGAAUGGCGUAAUGAUGGCCAGGCUGUCUCCACCCGAGACUCAGUGAAAUUGAACUCGCUGUGAAGAUGCAGUGUACCCGCGGCAAGACGGAAAGACCCCGUGAACCUUUACUAUAGCUUGACACUGAACAUUGAGCCUUGAUGUGUAGGAUAGGUGGGAGGCUUUGAAGUGUGGACGCCAGUCUGCAUGGAGCCGACCUUGAAAUACCACCCUUUAAUGUUUGAUGUUCUAACGUUGACCCGUAAUCCGGGUUGCGGACAGUGUCUGGUGGGUAGUUUGACUGGGGCGGUCUCCUCCUAAAGAGUAACGGAGGAGCACGAAGGUUGGCUAAUCCUGGUCGGACAUCAGGAGGUUAGUGCAAUGGCAUAAGCCAGCUUGACUGCGAGCGUGACGGCGCGAGCAGGUGCGAAAGCAGGUCAUAGUGAUCCGGUGGUUCUGAAUGGAAGGGCCAUCGCUCAACGGAUAAAAGGUACUCCGGGGAUAACAGGCUGAUACCGCCCAAGAGUUCAUAUCGACGGCGGUGUUUGGCACCUCGAUGUCGGCUCAUCACAUCCUGGGGCUGAAGUAGGUCCCAAGGGUAUGGCUGUUCGCCAUUUAAAGUGGUACGCGAGCUGGGUUUAGAACGUCGUGAGACAGUUCGGUCCCUAUCUGCCGUGGGCGCUGGAGAACUGAGGGGGGCUGCUCCUAGUACGAGAGGACCGGAGUGGACGCAUCACUGGUGUUCGGGUUGUCAUGCCAAUGGCACUGCCCGGUAGCUAAAUGCGGAAGAGAUAAGUGCUGAAAGCAUCUAAGCACGAAACUUGCCCCGAGAUGAGUUCUCCCUGACUCCUUGA